rnacentral:rRNA from 1 species
GGAGGGUGCGAGCGUUAAUCGGAAUUACUGGGCGUAAAGCGCGCGUAGGCGGCUUGGUCAGUCGGAUGUGAAAGCCCCGGGCUUAACCUGGGAAUUGCAUUCGAUACUGCCAGACUAGAGUAUGGGAGAGGGAAGCGGAAUUUCCGGUGUAGCGGUGAAAUGCGUAGAUAUCGGAAGGAACACCAGUGGCGAAGGCGGCUUCCUGGCCCAAUACUGACGCUGAGGUGCGAAAGCGUGGGGAGCAAACAGGGAUUAGAUACCCUGGUAGUCCACGCCGUAAACGAUGAGAACUAGAUGUCGGGAGGAUUUGCCUCUCGGUGUCGCAGCUAACGCGUUAAGUUCUCCGCCUGGGGAGUACGCCGGCAACGGUA